rnacentral:rRNA from 1 species
UACGUAGGGUGCGAGCGUUGUCCGGAAUUAUUGGGCGUAAAGAGCUCGUAGGCGGUCUGUCGCGUCGGAUGUGAAAACUCGGGGCUCAACCCCGAGCCUGCAUUCGAUACGGGCAGACUAGAGUUCGGUAGGGGAGACUGGAAUUCCUGGUGUAGCGGUGAAAUGCGCAGAUAUCAGGAGGAACACCGGUGGCGAAGGCGGCUCACUGGCCCGGUACUGACGCUGAGACGCGAAAGCGUGGGGAGCGAACAGG